ACGUGGGUAACCUGCCUGUAAGACUGGGAUAACUCCGGGAAACCGGGGCUAAUACCGGAUGGUUGUUUGAACCGCAUGGUUCAAACAUAAAAGGUGGCUUCGGCUACCACUUACAGAUGGACCCGCGGCGCAUUAGCUAGUUGGUGAGGUAACGGCUCACCAAGGCAACGAUGCGUAGCCGACCUGAGAGGGUGAUCGGCCACACUGGGACUGAGACACGGCCCAGACUCCUACGGGAGGCAGCAGUAGGGAAUCUUCCGCAAUGGACGAAAGUCUGACGGAGCAACGCCGCGUGAGUGAUGAAGGUUUUCGGAUCGUAAAGCUCUGUUGUUAGGGAAGAACAAGUACCGUUCGAAUAGGGCGGUACCUUGACGGUACCUAACCAGAAAGCCACGGCUAACUACGUGCCAGCAGCCGCGGUAAUACGUAGGUGGCAAGCGUUGUCCGGAAUUAUUGGGCGUAAAGGGCUCGCAGGCGGUUUCUUAAGUCUGAUGUGAAAGCCCCCGGCUCAACCGGGGAGGGUCAUUGGAAACUGGGGAACUUGAGUGCAGAAGAGGAGAGUGGAAUUCCACGUGUAGCGGUGAAAUGCGUAGAGAUGUGGAGGAAGCCCGCACCAGUGGCGAAGGCGACUCUCUGGUCUGUAACUGACGCUGAGGAGCGAAAGCGUGGGGAGCGAACAGGAUUAGAUACCCUGGUAGUCCACGCCGUAAACGAUGAGUGCUAAGUGUUAGGGGGUUUCCGCCCCUUAGUGCUGCAGCUAACGCAUUAAGCACUCCGCCUGGGGGAGUACGGUCGCAAGACUG
rnacentral:rRNA from 1 species